rnacentral:tRNA from 1 species
GCCUUCAUGGUGUAAUGGUUAGCACACUUGGUGUAUAUUCAAGAAGUCCAGGUUCAAGACCUAGCAAAGACA